UCAUGUUAUAAACAUUGUAAUCAUUAUAAACAUAACAAAAUAGUAUUAUGAACAGAAUUCUCUUUAAACAAAUCUCCAAAGGUAGAUAGAUAAUCAUAAUAUUCAUGGCUUGUCCAGUCACACACUUUGCACAGCAUACUUUAUUAGAAGAUUUCUCUUCUUACACAAUAAAUGUACAGGGACAAUUUUAAUUAGUGCAACAAAAUAACAACCACAAUUUAAAAUAAUUUAUGAAUAAAUAAAAACAACAGAAAAUGAGAAAAAAUAUUUUUUCCUCAUUACCAUAAAGUUGUUCUAGGGCUUAUCUUGGUCCCAUGUAAAGAUCAUCAAUCAAUGACCCACAUUCAUACAACAGUAUAGUCACAUGACCAUAAUCAAUAGCCACAAGACCAUAAACAAUGUGUUCUGCAUUUUUAAGUCAUAAUGUAUAUUUUUUAAUUAAAUUAUAAAAAUCAACAUGAAGAAGCAAAAAAAAAAAGAUUGAUCUAAUAUAUUUUCUUCGAUUUUAUCUGGAAUAAAAUACUAUUUACCAUCAUCUGAGAGGGGGGGAAAAGUUCAUGUAAAAACAAAUGAUCAGCAUAUCAAACUGCAUCAGUAAGCAUGUACCCCUAAACUUUCUUACAUCUAUGUUGUCAUAUAAUUGGCGAUUCUGUAGCUCAAGAGUUAUCAUUUGAAAGGUUUCAAUUUACAAUAAAACAUGUACAAUAAAGUACUCUAAAUAACAGGCAAAAAUUUGUUUUAAAACAAUAUAGAACCAAGUGCUAUUCUACUUUCUCAAAUCAUCCAUACUUUAUAAUAAAUGUAAUUUACUAGACUCAAACCUUAAGUUUGUUUUUCUUAUCUCUGUAAACAUGUCAGGAUAACAUUAUCUAGUAGCAAAGUCAUUCAAUAACUAAACAAGAGAAAUGAAAACAAAAGCUAUCACAUACACACAAUCAAUGUAUGUACUCACUAGAUGUUGGUUACUUGAUUAGAAUAAGACCAGACAUUUUCAGUUGGUUUUAGUUUAAAAAAUACAAUUGUCAAAUAACUAUUGCAACACAAUGUAGAAUUAUACUGCCUAUGGACAAAAAAUGACUCAUUAAUCAUUUAAACAUGUUAUACAAUGUUGCCUGUCUAGUUGGACCCUUGUGACAAGAUGACUUGAUCAAACAUAUUUUAGCAACAAAAGGGAAGGAAUGCACACAAAUCUUUUACAGCAGAAGUGGUAACCUUUUUGGCAUGUGGCCAGGUUUUUUUUGUCUGUGGGGGUUUCAAAAUGCAAGAUUUUUUUUUAUUUUUUUU